GGCACCUCGAUGUCGGCUCAUCACAUCCUGGGGCUGAAGUAGGUCCCAAGGGUAUGGCUGUUCGCCAUUUAAAGUGGUACGCGAGCUGGGUUUAGAACGUCGUGAGACAGUUCGGUCCCUAUCUGCCGUGGGCGCUGGAGAACUGAGGGGGGCUGCUCCUAGUACGAGAGGACCGGAGUGGACGCAUCACUGGUGUUCGGGUUGUCAUGCCAAUGGCACUGCCCGGUAGCUAAAUGCGGAAGAGAUAAGUGCUGAAAGCAUCUAAGCACGAAACUUGCCCCGAGAUGAGUUCUCCCUGACUCCUUGAGAGUCCUGAAGGAACGUUGAAGACGACGACGUUGAUAGGCCGGGUGUGUAAGCGCAGCGAUGCGUUGAGCUAACCGGUACUAAUGAACCGUGAGGCUUAACCUUACAACGCCGAAGGUGUUU
rnacentral:rRNA from 1 species